rnacentral:rRNA from 1 species
GACGAACGCUGGCGGCGUGCUUAACACAUGCAAGUCGAACGGAAAGGCCCUGCUUUUGUGCGGUGCUCGAGGGGCGAACGGGUGAGUAACACGUGAGUAACCUGCCCCUGACUUUGGGAUAACUUCAGGAAACUGGGGCUAAUACCGGAUAGGAGCUCCUGCUGCAUGGUGGGGGUUGGAAAGUUUCGGCGGUUGGGGAUGGACUCGCGGCUUAUCAGCUUGUUGGUGGGGUAGUGGCUUACCAAGGCUUUGACGGGUAGCCGGCCUGAGAGGGGGACCGGACACAUUGGGACUGAGAUACGGCCCAGACUCCUACGGGAGGCAGCAGUGGGGAAUAGUGCACAAUGGGCGGAAGCCUGAUGCAGCAACGCCGCGUGCGGGAUGACGGCCUUCGGGUUGUAAACCGCUUUCGCCUGUGACGAAGCGUGAGUGACGGUAAUGGGUAAAGAAGCACCGGCUAACUACGUG